rnacentral:rRNA from 1 species
UACGGGGGGGGCAAGCGUUGUUCGGAAUUACUGGGCGUAAAGGGCGCGUAGGCGGUUUGUUAAGUUGGAUGUGAAAACUCUGGGCUCAACCCAGAGCCUGCAUCCAAUACUGACAGGCUAGAGUUCUGGAGGGGAUAGCGGAAUUCCUGGUGUAGCGGUGAAAUGCGUAGAUAUCAGGAGGAACACCGGUGGCGAAGGCGGCUAUCUGGACAGAGUCUGACGCUGAGGCGCGAAAGCGUGGGGAGCGAACAGG